GAAAGCUUAUGUAUCUAAGUAUGCAAUCUUUAUAUUCAGUAAUAAAAUUAAUUAUUAUUAAUCUUUUAGCAGCUGAGCAAUUUUUUCAAAAUAUUAUAUAUAACCAUUGAAUAUAGUUAUAUAAAUUUCCCGCCACUAACACUAUGGUGGUGUUAGCAUAGACCCCGUUACCAUAUUCCGUCUCCAUUCUGUGAUACGACUACGCCUGCGCCCUGAUCAUCCCGCGCGUUUACAAACAAGAUAUUUUUUUUGCAAACUCCAUUGAAAAACAGUUUUACUGCAUGGACAAUUCACCGAGAGAAUGGAAUUGUUGAAUGACAGCUUCGUUCAUUCUGCGCAUGUUGACUUUGAUGGUUUUAGCAUGCUAACACUAUAUAACACGUUAAAGCUUGCAUACUUAGUGAUCAAAAUGAUUUAUGUACUGUAAUUCACAAAAUGUGAUAAGAGUUGGUAAGCUUUUCGUCCACUACAUACAUGACUGAUGAAAAAGAAUAAGUCGUGGGAGCUUUCUCAGCUCAGGUGAGCUGCGCAAAAACGCUCCCGUUUCCCGGCGAAUUGACAUUAUGAUGAAAAUAUUAAUUAUUAUUGACCAUUUCAUCAACAACCAUGUUGUACCAUUUGUGUCAAUGUAAGUGUGAACCAUUCAAGACAAUUUAAUAAAUAUACUAAUAAGAGAAGACAGAAAAGUGCGAAAUAAAAGUUAUUUUUUCGUAUAAAAUAAUUGAUGUCCGAAUUUAUUGACUAUGGCCCACUUUACUGAAAAAUUUGAAAAAAAUUUAAGGACAAUAAAAACUCAAGAAUUGAAUUCAAAAUGUUGACUUAAAUUGAGUGUAUUCUGAAUGUAGUACAUAUAUUUACUCUGUAUUUUGUUUUUCUUUUCAUAUUGAAUAGUUACCGGUGUCGAUUUAUUAUUGUAUCAUAUGCAAAGAAGCCUUUAAUAACGAAACAAAAAACUAAUCUUGCAAAUUAUGCUGUAAGCCAAUGA